rnacentral:rRNA from 1 species
AACGAACGCUGGCGGCACGCUUAACACAUGCAAGUCGAACGGUAACGGCUCUUCGGAGGCCGACGAGUGGCGGACGGGUGAGUAACGCGUAGCUACCUGCCCUCUGGCGGGGGACAACAGUUGGAAACGACUGCUAAUACCGCAUAUCUCCUACGGAGAAAGACCUUCGGUCGACCAGAGGAGGGGCGUGCGUUGGUAGUUAGUCUAGUUGGUAAGGUAACGGCGUUACCAAGGACGACGAUCCAUAGCUGGUCUGAGAGGAUGAUCAGCCACACUGGGACUGAGACACGGCCCACGACUCCUACGGGAGGCAGCAGUGGGGAAUAUUGCGCAAUGGGGCGAACCCUGACGCAGCGAUGCCGCGUGAGUGAAGAAGGCCUUCGGGUUGUAAAGCUCUUUUAGUAGGACGAUAGUGACGGUACCUACAGAAAGAGCUCCGGCUAACUCCGUGCCAGCAGCCGCGGUAAU